rnacentral:SRP_RNA from 1 species
UGGGAAGCUGGCGAUGGACGUGUCUUUCGCCAAUCUGGUCAGAUCCGGAAGGAAGCAGCCACAACGAAUCUUUCAUGGGUUAUUGUCCAGUUUCCUUUUU